UGCUCCCGACGAGCUGGCUGUCGCCUUGCAUGGUCGACUCUGCCGUCGGCGUGUCAAUCUGUGUAUUAACCGAUGUAAGUCGCUUUGGAUAAAAGCGUCUGCUAAAUGCCCUAAUUGUAAUUGAUCUUCAAACUAGUAUGUUUGGAGAAGCUCCCUUGUUGAUGGUGCUAUCCGAGUCCACUCUGAUUGCUGAGGAGUAUGAGUCGGAUAGCUUCCAUUGACAUCAAUGUUUUUUACAACCCUUUGCAUCGAGCUUAGCAGACAUCUUCUACAGUGGGAACAUUUUGUAUCUUUAAUGUAACCUUAAAUAUCUCAGGGGCUUUAUUCAGCUACAUUUAUAAUAAUUUAAUGUUAUUUCAUGGUACGUGUAUGUAACCUGUAUGACUCACUGGUGUAAAUAAAGGUAUUCAUUUUUUUCUUGGCAUCAGCCAAUCACAAACUCUUUCAGUAAUAGCCCUGCCCUCUAAUUGUCAUUAUAGUUGAUCACAAACAUCUGUGAGGCCUCUGAACGACAAGCACUGAAUGACAAGCACAUGCUCCAGGAUCUUGAGCUAUCGAAGAUUGCCUUGUUCCAAGCCUCAUUCCUGGAAAUUCAAGAAAUUGUCUUCUACAAUUGGAGCUGCUGCUGGCCAUGUUUUGACUGCUUGCUUCCAUACAAGUUUAAUGUUUCAUUUUCUCGUAUUGGAUUGCAUGUUUUAUUUUGUA